rnacentral:rRNA from 1 species
UACGUAGGGGGCAAGCGUUGUCCGGAUUUAUUGGGCGUAAAGAGCGUGUAGGCGGUUAGGUAGGUCCGUUGUGAAAACUCGAGGCUCAACCUCGAGACGCCGAUGGAAACCAUCUAACUAGAGUCCGGAAGAGGAGAGUGGAAUUCCUGGUGUAGCGGUGAAAUUCGUAGAUAUUCGCAAGAACACCAGUGGCGAAGGCGGCUCACUGGCCCGGUACUGACGCUGAGGUGCGAAAGCGUGGGGAGCAAACAGG